rnacentral:tRNA from 1 species
GGGUGUGUGGCGUAAUGGAUAACACGUCUGACUUCGGAUCAGAAGAUUCCGGAUUCGAGUUUCGUUGCACCCC